UCUCGAGGCAUUAAAGUGUGAGUGGUAUGAGAAGGGCAUUCAUAGAAGAGGGCAGCUAGGCAUAGAAUAUCAGAACUUUUGCACGGUGAGGAGGGCUUCCAUAUGGGAACUGCACUGGUGUUGUGUGUUGGAGCUUGAGCAGAAUGAGAAGGAGGUAUCUAUGUGGAGAAUAAUUUUUUCUUCAGUCCUCAUAGGUUCUUAGUUGGAAUGGACCUAUGUAAAAAAAAAAAAAAACAGAUUAGCAAGAGAAAAACAAACAUACAUUAACACGUGUGUUUCAUAUGUACAUGGAAGAAACUCAGAAAAUUAGUAGUUCUCAAAGAGGUAGUUUUCAUUCCAGCUUUUAUAGCAUCUUCAACAAAGAACAGUAAAAUUUUAGAAAAGUAACGAGACAAAGGUAAAGGACUUUAAGUUCCUUAAGGUAGGAAAUUGAGUCAAGGAAACUAAAUGUUAGAUAAAGGCUAGUUGGUAAAGCCUGUUAAUAU
rnacentral:lncRNA from 1 species